CUGUCCUACGGGACGCAGCAGUAGGGAAUCUUUCACAAUGGGCGAAAGCCUGAUGGAGCAACGCCGCGUGCAGGAUGAAGGCCUUCGGGUUGUAAACUGCUUUUAUAAGCGAGAAAUAUGAUGGUAACUUAUGAAUAAGGAUCGGCUAACUACGUGCCAGCAGCCGCGGUCAUACGUAGGGCGCGAGCGUUAAUCGGAAUUACUGGGCGUAAAGCGCGCGUAGGCUGUUGUGUAAGUUGGGGGUGAAAUCCCACGGCUCAACCGUGGAACAGCCCUUGAUACUGCGCGACUUGAAUCCGGGAGAG
rnacentral:rRNA from 1 species